CGAGGCGGCCGGAUGGCCGCGCGCCGGCGGGGCAACCCGACGGCGUGAGGAAAGUCCGAGCUCCACAGCGCGAGGUAGCGGGUAACACCCGUCCGCCGCGAGGCGAGGACCAGCGCCACAGUGACGAUGCCGGCGCCUCGGCGCCGGAGUGAAACGCGGCAAGCUCUACCCGGAGCAAGGCCAAAUAGGAGGGCGACCACCCGGUUCGCCGGGACGGGCGCGCUGCCCAGCCCUCGGGUCGGCCGCAUGAGCCGUCGGGUGACCGACGGCCCGAGAUGGAUGGCCAUCGCCGAGCCGUUUCGACGGCGAGGCACAGAACUCGGCUUACAGGCCGCCCUCGCUGA
rnacentral:RNase_P_RNA from 1 species